rnacentral:miRNA from 1 species
AGCACUCACUGGGGGUUUGGUC